rnacentral:rRNA from 1 species
GUCUACGGCCGUACCACCCUGAACAAGCCCAAUCCCGUUUGAUCUUGGAAGCUAAGCAGGGUUGGACCGGGUUAGUACUUGGAUGGGAGACCACCUAGGAAGACCAGGUGCUGUUGGCG